UCCUACGGCUACAUCACGGUGUGGUUGUCUGUCUUCCUGUGGAUGGACGUUUGGAUGGUUUCCAGUGUAGGCUCUGACUCAUAAAGCAGCUAUGAGCAUCUUUCUAUGAAUUUUUGGGUAAACACAGUGUGUUUUCUGUUGGGCAAAUACCCAGCCGUGGAAUUGCUGAGUCAUAAGGUUGAUUUACUCCCAGGCCCAGUGCCGACCCUGAGGUAGAGGUAACGUCUGGCCCCCUGACAGGAAAGCCUGGACCCGAUUGUGUGAAAG